rnacentral:tRNA from 1 species
GGCGGCGUAGCUCAGUGGUAGAGCAGCGGACUCAUAAGCCGCUGGUCACUGGUUCGAGUCCAGUCGCCGCUA